AGUGGCGGACGGGCGAGUAACGCGUGAGAAUCUGCCUUGGGGUCGGGGACAACCACUGGAAACGGUGGCUAAUACCGGAUAAGCCGAUUGGUGAAAGAUUUAUUGCCCGAAGAGGAGCUCGCGUCUGAUUAGCUAGUUGGUGAGGUAAGAGCUCACCAAGGCAGCGAUCAGUAGCUGGUCUGAGAGGACGAUCAGCCACACUGGGACUGAGACACGGCCCAGACUCCUACGGGAGGCAGCAGUGGGGAAUUUUCCGCAAUGGGCGAAAGCCUGACGGAGCAAGACCGCGUGAGGGAGGAAGGCUCUUGGGUUGUAAACCUCUUUUCUCAGGGAAGAAGCUCUGACGGUACCUGAGGAAUCAGCCUCGGCUAACUCCGUGCCAGCAGCCGCGGUAAUACGGAGGAGGCAAGCGUUAUCCGGAAUUAUUGGGCGUAAAGCGUCCGCAGGUGGCGAUUCAAGUCUGCUGUCAAAGCACGGGGCUUAACUCCGUAAAGGCAGUGGAAACUGAAUAGCUAGAGUGCCGUAGGGGUAGAGGGAAUUCCCGGUGUAGCGGUGAAAUGCGUAGAGAUCGGGAAGAACAUCGGUGGCGAAAGCGCUCUACUGGACGGCAACUGACACUCAGGGACGAAAGCUAGGGGAGCGAAUGGGAUUAGAUACCCC
rnacentral:rRNA from 1 species